GAGUGGGCUGCAAAAGAAGUAGGUAGUUUAACCUUCGGGAGGACGCUUACCACUUUGUGGUUCAUGACUGGGGUGAAGUCGUAACAAGGUAGCCCUAGGGGAACCUGGGGCUGGAUCACCUCCUUAC
rnacentral:rRNA from 1 species